rnacentral:rRNA from 1 species
CCUACGGGAGGCAGCAGUGAGGAAUAUUGGUCAAUGGACGAGAGUCUGAACCAGCGAAGUAGCGUGAAGGAUGAAUGCGUUAUGGGUGGUAAACUUCUUUUAUAAAGGAGUAAAACGCGGCACGUGUGCAUUUUUGCAUGUACUUUAUGAAUAAGGAUCGGCUAACUCCGUGCCAGCAGCCGCGGUAAUACGGAGGGUCCGAGCGUUAUCCGGAUUUAUUGGGUUUAAAGGGAGCGUAGAUGGGUUGUUAAGUCAGUUGUGAAAGUUUGCGGCUCAACCGUAAAAUUGCAAUUGAUACUGGCAGUCUUGAGUACAGUUGAGGUAAGCGGAAUUCGUGGUGUAGCGGUGAAAUGCUUAGAUAUCACGAAGAACCCCGAUUGCGAAGGCAGCUUACUAAACUGUGACUGACAUUGAUGCUCGAAAGUGUGGGUAUCAAACAGGAUUAGAUACCCUUGUAGUC